GCAGUGGUGGUUCAGUGGUAGAAUUCUAGUCUUCCAUGUGGGAGUCCCUGGUUCAACUCCCAGCCAGUGCA
rnacentral:tRNA from 1 species